AUUGAACGCUGGCGGCAUGCCUUACACAUGCAAGUCGAACGGCAGCACGGGUGCUUGCACCUGGUGGCGAGUGGCGAACGGGUGAGUAAUACAUCGGAACGUACCUUAUCGCGGGGGAUAACGCAGCGAAGGCUGUGCUAAUACCGCAUACGCCCUGAGGGGGAAAGCGGGGGAUCGAAAGACCUCGCGCGAUUAGAGCGGCCGAUGCCUGAUUAGCUUGUUGGUGGGGUAAAAGCCCACCAAGGCGACGAUCAGUAGCUGGUCUGAGAGGACGAUCAGCCACACUGGGACUGAGACACGGCCCAGACUCCUACGGGAGGCAGCAGUGGGGAAUUUUGGACAAUGGGGGCAACCCUGAUCCAGCAAUGCCGCGUGAGUGAAGAAGGCCUUCGGGUUGUAAAGCUCUUUUGUCAGGGAAGAAACACCGGCUCUAACACAGUCCGGGAAUGACGGUACCUGAAGAAUAAGCACCGGCUAACUACGUGCCAGCAGCCGCCGCAG
rnacentral:rRNA from 1 species